CUAAAACUGGCUAGGCCCCUGCUUCUUUGAAACUUAUUUUUCUCAAGACUAUGUUAAAGAUGAAAGCAAAUUGCUUGGAAGACCAUCACAAAAGGAAAAAGAGCAAGUUAUUGCCUUUUUGUCUUUCUAUUUUGUAGAGAGGAGGCCUACGGAAAGACCCAUGGUAUCCUUGAAAAUCUUGGGAAUAGCUAAAACGGAUGUGAUUCAAGAUAUGCCGGCAUGGCCUGACUGCCACUUGUUCGAAGGCGAGGAGAACUGUAGAUACUUGGAUUGAAGACGGAGAUGCACUGGAUGGUUGAGUUGGAGAGCAAGAGUAUGAUAUUUGGACUCCAGAUGUGUUAAGGCUGCUCUCCAUCGCUGCAGAAAAGAACAAGAGAAGUAAGAUUUGUUGUGUUAUUAGUUUUUGACUAAAAAUAGAUUAAAGUUUUGAAUCAAAGCAACCAAACCCGUGUGUCAGAAGUUAGAUUGGAGUACCAUAAAGCUAGAUGGAACACAAGCACAGGUUUUAAUUUGGAUCAAUUAAAACUACCAAUACCACAUUGAAAGUUUUGUUGAA